UGGGGAAUAUUGCACAAUGGGCGAAAGCCUGAUGCAGCAACGCCGCGUGAGUGAUGACGGCCUUCGGGUUGUAAAACUCUGUCUUCAGGGACGAUAAUGACGGUACCUGAGGAGGAAGCCACGGCUAACUACGUG
rnacentral:rRNA from 1 species